rnacentral:rRNA from 1 species
ACCAGUUCAAAUUUUGAAUCCGGCGUCAGCCCAAGUUGUAAUUUGAAAAGGAUGUUUGGGGGCAGCGGCCGGUUCAAGUUCCUUGGACCAGGACGUAACAGAGGGUGAGAAUCCGGAAGGUGAUCGGCUGGCACCCCUCACGUAGCUCCUUCGACGAGUCGAGUUGUUUGGGAAUGCAGCUCUAAAAUGGGUGGUAAAUUUCAUCUAAAGCUAAAUACCGGCCAGAGACCGAUAGCGCACGGGUGGGGUGAUCGAAAGAUGAAAAGCACUUUGGAAGGAGAGUUAAAAAGCACGUGAAAUUGUUGAGGGGGAGGCGCUUGCAACCGGACUUGACGGCGGUGUUCCCCCGGUCUUUUGACCGGGGCACUCGCCGCCGUCAGGCCGGCAUCAUUUGGGGCCGCCGGAGAUAGGUGGCGGGAAUGUGG